AGAUGGCGACCGGCGCACGGGUGAGUAACACUAUCCAACCUGCCGAUAACUCGGGGAUAGCCUUUCGAAAGAAAGAUUAAUACCCGAUGGCAUAAUUAGACCGCAUGGUCUUAUUAUUAAAGAAUUUCGGUUAUCGAUGGGGAUGCGUUCCAUUAGGCAGUUGGUGAGGUAACGGCUCACCAAACCUUCGAUGGAUAGGGGUUCUGAGAGGAAGGUCCCCCACAUUGGAACUGAGACACGGUCCAA
rnacentral:rRNA from 1 species